rnacentral:rRNA from 1 species
AUUGAACGCUGGCGGCAUGCCUUACACAUGCAAGUCGAACGGUAACAGGUCUUCGGAUGCUGACGAGUGGCGAACGGGUGAGUAAUACAUCGGAACGUGCCCGAGAGUGGGGGAUAACGAGGCGAAAGCUUUGCUAAUACCGCAUACGAUCUCAGGAUGAAAGCAGGGGACCGCAAGGCCUUGCGCUCACGGAGCGGCCGCUGGCAGAUUAGGUAGUUGGUGGGGUAAAAGCUUACCAAGCCGACGAUCUGUAGCUGGUCUGAGAGGACGACCAGCCACACUGGGACUGAGACACGGCCCAGACUCCUACGGGAGGCAGCAGUGGGGAAUUUUGGACAAUGGGCGCAAGCCUGAUCCAGCCAUGCCGCGUGCAGGAUGAAGGCCUUCGGGUUGUAAACUGCUUUUGUACGGAACGAAAAGACUCCUUCUAAUAAAGGGGGUCCAUGACGGUACCGUAAGAAUAAGCACCGGCUAACUACGUGCCAGCCGCCGCCGUAAAAC